CCUACGGGAGGCAGCAGUAGGGAAUAUUGCUCAAUGGGGGAAACCCUGAAGCAGCAACGCCGCGUGGAGGAUGAAGGUUUUCGGAUUGUAAACUCCUUUUGUUAGAGAAGAUAAUUACGGUAGCUAACGAAUAAGCACCGGCUAACUCCGUGCCAGCCGCCGCGGUAAUACGGAGGGUGCAAGCGUUACCCGGAAUCACUGGGCGUAACGAGCGCGUAGGCGGGAUAGCAAGUCAGAUGUUAAAUCCUAUGGCUUAACCAUAGCACUGCAGUUGAAACGGUUAUUCUAGAGUAUGCGAGCGCUCGGUCGCAUUCUUGGUGUAGGGGUAAAAUCCGUAGAGAUCAAGAGGAAUACUCAUUGCGACGGCGACCUGCUAGAACAUACCUGACGCUGCUGCGCGAAAGCGUGGGGAGCAAACAGGAUUAGAUACCCCAGUAGUC
rnacentral:rRNA from 1 species